UGUGAGGUAAGUAGGGGGUGUCCAUUUAAAAAUAAUUCCAUAAUUAUGUAUAUAUUUGUUUAUAGAUAUGAAAUGAUUUAUUUUAAAUGCAAGUUUAAGGAAAGCAUGAGCUGGUAGAUAUUUUAGGAGUUUGUGAAUGCCCAAGCAUUUGAAAUGUGUUUUGAAUAUAUAUAUAUAUAUAUAUACAAGUUAAAUACGUAAAGGGUUUUCAAAUCGGGAAACAAGGUUUGCAAUAUAAUUUAUGUCAAAAAUGUACCUUAUUGAUUGUGUGAUGUGCAUUCAUGAAUGAUUUCAUACUCACCAUGCUGAUUUGAUGUCUAACCUUUAUGCAAAAAGGUUUUAAAUUGCAAAGUGAUACAAAAAAGGUUUUAGUACACUACCAUAAUCGGUAUUUUAAAAAUGAUUUGAAAUGAUCUUUUGAAAACCCGAUUUGACUUUUAUAUGGUUUUAUUAAAUCGGGAGAUUCGAGAGUAGGCCAGUUGUCAUUUCGGUUAAGUGUGAUCCUUGUGUAUAAGUGAGCUCUAACUAGAGAACCUUUGGAUUGCCAAUGGGCUGUUAGACAUGGUUGGGGCCAUGGUCUAUGAUUGUUUUGUGGCUAAGCCACUAGUGAUAUAUGCGAUUACGAUCGCCUGAUUUCUCUGAUGUUAGCCAACAUUGUUGAGACUGCCAUGGCUGUAGGGAUCCGGUGGAGUUGAGCUCUCAGAUGUUUUUACAUGGAAGCGUGCCCACGAGCUUUAUUAUUCUAUUCCUACUCGAUAGUGAUAUCUCUUUGGGUUUUCACGCACGCAGUUUUUUACAUGGUGAGAAAUAAUUGUUUUUCCGUAGCUCCCUUAUUUAUAUGAUGACGUUGGAUUUUAAUUCCUCGUGAACGAGGUGAUUUAUGGAUUUUCUUGUAAACUUUGUUAAUGGUGGAUUCCAUGGGAGCUCGUGCAACGAUAUUAAUUGCUUUAAUCCAGUAUUUCAAAUGAUUUUGAUGGUAGAAAUAUUACAUCAAAUGGUCCGAUAUUUGAUUUAAAUGCCUACUUGCAUUAACUUACUGGUUUUACAUAUAAGGUACAAACCUCCCCUUUGAGUUAUAUUGCUUUUAUAUAUUCUUAUAUUUUUAAUAUUCAAAUCUUCUACCUUUAGCAUGUUUCCCAUCUAUGCCCAACUCACGAGAUUGAUGAUCACUGAGUCCAUGAGACUCACCCCCUUAUUUCCUUUUGCAAAUAAGUGAUUAGCUCAAGUGCAUUGCUCAACGCAUUGAAACUUGCUGCAAUGUAGGUAAUGGCAUCUCUUAGACGCCCACUCCGAGUCGCUCCACUACCUAAAGGUCAUGUUGUGUCGGAUAGUCAAGCUUAUGAUGAGCGAUAGUUUGUGAAAAUGUAUUUGUCAAAACUUGAGGUUGUGUAAUGAUUACCGCAUAUUACAUUGAACAUGUUGUGGAGUUAUCAAACUUAAUUUUUGGCAUCUAAUUGUCGUGAUUUAACUAUUGUGUUUACUUGGUAUAAAUGAGCUAUGUCGUUAAAAUUGUGAAUUGAGUUUAAAUUGUCUGAAAGUUUAACCAAGGCUUGUUUAGGGUUUGACAGGUUUACUCGCAAGUCUAGGACACCGAUAACGAUCUAGGGGAGAAGUCGUUACAAAAGUGAAGCUUGUGCAAGAAAUAUGAUUGGAGGAAUAAAGUGGUGCAUGGAAUAAAGAAUAAAGAAAGGAAGAAUGGCAGAGUGAAGGUGGAGGGUGGAGAAGUGUAGUAAGGAUAGAAAAUGGGCCAAUGAACAAAGUGGGGAAUUAGUGCAUGAAGACUCAUUGGUUGGCAAAGUGGUUAAAUGAAAACAAAGGAAAAUUGGUGCAUGUGUUGUGGUUGGUUUCAAAAGGUGGCCAAACGAAUACAAAAGAAAAUUUGUGCAUGAAAUGUGAUUAGUUCCAAUGGGCUGCCAUAUAAAUACUAAAUUGCAAUAGUGAAAUAGAAAAGUGAAGAGGACUUUGGUGAGACUUGAAGACUGGCCAUUUAGAGAAAAAAAGAAAGGAAAGAAAGCUUGACAGGUUCCACCUGAGGUGAAGAAAAAGAAGAAAGAAAAGAGAGAAAUGAAGAAAAGGCUCAGUUUUACGCAAAACCAAAAGGAACCGUGGGGUUUCCUCCCUCAUCUUGUAGAUUUGUGCUAUUUCAUCACCUAAGGAGUCUUUAAUACUCAAGAGAGAAGCCGUGGAGUGUUGAUAGAGGUGUAGAGCUCAAUUUCAAGAUACAAGAGAGAUAAGGUAAGAAUUUUGGUUUUAGCUUGAGUAAUCUUUGAAAAUGAGUUGGUGACUAAGAGAAAUGUCUUAUGGCAACAAAUAUUGACUUGAUUAGAGAAGACUGGGUGACAUGCAAGCCAUCAAACCCGUGAGUGCAUAUUGGAUUCAAAAUGAAAAAGAAAUGGUAAACAUAAUACUAUAAUUUAAGGCCUAUGGUUGGUUGAAUAUUGUAAGAAAAUACUUGUGUGAAAUGUUGGUAGCUUGGUGAGAAGAGCAUUAAAAGAACAUUGAGGUUGCAUGCAAGAUCAAAUCCACCACAAAGGUAAGGCAUGCAAUGUGUAGUGUUUAUGUGAUGCCUUGGGUACGGUUAGAAAGCAAUUAUGUUAUUUGAAAGCUUGAAAAAUAAAAUGGGUGGACAAGUGUUGUUGUGAAAGGCUUAAAAGGUUAAGAAUGUGGUGUGCGUGAAUGAACAUUGAUGUUGUGCUUAGUAGCAGCACACAAAUGUAAAUGGUGGUGCAUAUAAGCUUAAAGGAUGCUUGGUGAAAUUAGAUUUAUAGUUGCUACCAUAUGCAUGAUUAAUGGUAUGAAAACAAUAGGUUGAACAUGAUAAAUGUCAUUAGAAAAGAUUGAUGUGGGCGUUGACAUCAUAAACAAAUUGCCGGGAUUAUUUAAAUCAAAGUUUACACUAAGGAUUAAGUGUAAAUGGUUUUCUCUUAAAAAAAUGAAUGAAAUGGUGAAAUGAAAUGAAAUGAAAGAUGAGAAUCUAGAAUUAAGUGUGAAUAGCAAGUGUAGAAUAUAUUUUCAGUAAAGUUUAUUGAUGGUAUUGAAUUGAAAUGAUGUUAAGAAGUUGACAAAGCAAGGGUUAUUGUUGCAAGCACAAAGUGAGUAUUCGAGGAAACAUCAGUGGCGAAGUAAUAUCCUGCUAUUGUAAGAUAGUGAUCGACCUAGCAUCCCUUUAUCAGCAUUUAUUGUCUACGAAGGAUAGGUAAAGGCAUAACUUAGCACCUUCUUCCGAGUCGUUUUGCUGCUAGAGGUCAAGUUGAUUAUAGCAUAAGUUAAUUGUAAAUGUCAAUGUAAAUGUGCAAUUGAAUAUUAUAGACUUUAAUGUAUUCUUAUGUUUAUGGUAAGUAAAAGUUAAGUCAAUUUAUUAUUA